rnacentral:rRNA from 1 species
AGAGUUUGAUCAUGGCUCAGGAUGAACGCUGGCGGUAUGCUUAACACAUGCAAGUCGAACGGAGUACUUCGGUACUUAGUGGCGGACGGGUGAGUAACGCGUGAGAAUCUGCCUUCAGGUUCGGGACAACCAUUGGAAACGGUGGCUAAUACCGAAUGUGCAGAGAUGUGAAAUAUUAAUAGCCUGAAGAUGAGCUCGCGUCUGAUUAGCUAGUAGGUGUGGUAAUAGCGCACCUAGGCGACGAUCAGUAGCUGGUCUGAGAGGAUGAUCAGCCACACUGGGACUGAGACACGGCCCAGACUCCUACGGGAGGCAGCAGUGGGGAAUUUUCCGCAAUGGGCGAAAGCCUGACGGAGCAAUACCGCGUGAGGGAGGAAGGCUCUUGGGUUGUAAACCUCUUUUCUCAGGGAAGAAAAAAAUGACGGUACCUGAGGAAUAAGCAUCGGCUAACUCCGUGCCAGCAGCCGCGGUAAUACGGAGGAUGCAAGCGUUAUCCGGAAUGAUUGGGCGUAAAGCGUCCGCAGGUGGCGAUGUAAGUCUGCUGUUAAAUAGUGAGGCUCAACCUCAUAAAGGCAGUGGAAACUACAUUGCUAGAGUGCGUUCGGGGCAGAGGGAAUUCCUGGUGUAGCGGUGAAAUGCGUAGAGAUCAGGAAGAACACCGGUGGCGAAAGCGCUCUGCUAGGCCGCAACUGACACUGAGGGACGAAAGCUAGGGGAGCGAAUGGGAUUAGAUACCCCAGUAGUCC